rnacentral:rRNA from 1 species
CGACCGCGACCCCAGGUCACGCGGGA